GAUGAACGCUGACAGAAUGCUUAACACAUGCAAGUCGAUUCGAUUUACCUUCGGGUAUUGAGGAUGGCGGACGGGUGAGUAACGCGUAAGGAACUUGCCUCUUGGUCUGGGACAACUGUUGGAAACGACAGCUAAUACCGGAUAUUAUGAGAUUCUCGCAUGGGAAACUUAUGAAAGCUAUAUGCGCCAAGAGAGAGCCUUGCGUUCCAUUAGCUAGUUGGUGGGGUAACGGCCCACCAAGGCGACGAUGGAUAGCCGGCCUGAGAGGGUGAACGGCCACAAGGGGACUGAGACACGGCCCUUACUCCUACGGGAGGCAGCAGUGGGGAAUAUUGGACAAUGGGCCACAAGCCUGAUCCAGCAAUUCUGUGUGCACGAUGAAGGUCUUCGGAUUGUAAAGUGCUUUCAGUUGGGAAGAAGAAAGUGACGGUACCAACAGAAGAAGCGACGGCUAAAUACGUGCCAGCAGCCGCGGUAAUACGUAUGUCGCAAGCGUUAUCCGGAUUUAUUGGGCGUAAAGCGCGUCUAGGCGGAAAAAUAAGUCUGAUGUUAAAAUGCGGGGCUCAACUCCGUAUUGCNUUGGAAACUGUUUUUCUAGAGUACUGGAGAGGUGGGCGGAACUACAAGUGUANAGGUGAAAUUC
rnacentral:rRNA from 1 species